AUUGAACGCUGGCGGCAUGCCUUACACAUGCAAGUCGAACGGCAGCACGGGUUCUUGCACCUGGUGGCGAGUGGCGAACGGGUGAGUAAUACAUCGGAACAUGUCCUGUAGUGGGGGAUAGCCCGGCGAAAGCCGGAUUAAUACCGCAUACGAUCCACGGAUGAAAGCGGGGGACCUUCGGGCCUCGCGCUUUAGGGUUGGCCGAUGGCUGAUUAGCUAGUUGGUGGGGUAAAGGCCUACCAAGGCGACGAUCAGUAGCUGGUCUGAGAGGACGACCAGCCACACUGGGACUGAGACACGGCCCAGACUCCUACGGGAGGCAGCAGUGGGGAAUUUUGGACAAUGGGCGAAAGCCUGAUCCAGCAAUGCCGCGUGUGUGAAGAAGGCCUUCGGGUUGUAAAGCACUUUUGUCCGGAAAGAAAUCCUUGACUCUAAUACAGUCGGGGGAUGACGGUACCGGAAGAAUAAGCACCGGCUAACUACGUG
rnacentral:rRNA from 1 species